UACGGAGGGGGCUAGCGUUGUUCGGAAUUACUGGGCGUAAAGCGCACGUAGGCGGCUAUUUAAGUCAGGGGCGAAAGCCCGGAGCUCAAACUCCGGAACUGCCCCUUGAGACUGGAUAGCUAGAAUCUUGGAGAGGCGGGUGGAAUUCCGAGUGUAGAGGUGAAAUUCGUAGAUAUUCGGAAGAACACCAGUGGCGAAGGCGGCCCGCUGGACAAGUAUUGACGCUGAGGUGCGAAAGCGUGGGGAGCAAACAGG
rnacentral:rRNA from 1 species